GAAGUCCUAAUAAUAUAAAUAUAACUGUAGAAGAGUCAAUCCCAAGCAAAAUAGGACAAAGUUUCAUAACUCUGUCUAUAUAAAGAAGGAAAUUAUUAAAGUCAUGAGUAAAAUUGGUUCUUAAAAGUAGUUGUUGGUUUUGAGGUUAUAUUAGUGUUGGUGUUGGAUGAUGAUGAAAACUAAUGCUAAUACUAUGGAUCUAUACUGUUCCUGUUUAUCAACAGUAUGCUCAGAUUUGGAGACCUCGGACAGUGGUACACGACGACUACAAACACAACUUAAGGAUCUAUAGCUUUAAAGAAUGAGGGAAACAAAAUAUAGCUUGUGGUAGUUCAGUUCUUGGAUUACCCGAGUUUACACAUUACUAAUGUUAUUUUGCUUGGGAUAUGUAAAAUGCCUAUAGGACCUAUGAAAGGCUUUCUCCAGUGUAAAGUUAAGUACUUAUUCGACAUACUCUUACAAGUUACACCAACAGUUUACAGUACUUAUUCGACAUGUUUUUACGCCAAUGUAGCUGAAAAUACUUAUAGUUGUGUAUCUUUAUGCAUUUGCUAUUUUAAAA